rnacentral:rRNA from 1 species
CUGACUGCUAUCGGAUUGAUACUAAGCCAUGCGAGUCAUUGUAGCAAUACAAGGCAGACGGCUCAGUAACGCGUAGUCAACCUACCCUAUGGACGGGAAUAACCUCGGGAAACUGAGAAUAAUGCCCGAUAGAGCAUUAUGCCUGGAAUGGUUUAUGUUCCAAAUGAUUUAUCGCCGUAGGAUGGGACUGCGGCCUAUCAGUUUGUUGGUGAGGUAAUGGCCCACCAAGACUAUUACAGGUACGGGCUCUGAGAGGAGUGGCCCGGAGAUGGGUACUGAGACACGGACCCAGGCCCUAUGGGGCGCAGCAGGCGAGAAAACUUUGCAAUGUGCGAAAGCACGACAAGGUUAAUCCGAGUGGUUUCUGCUAAAGGAACCUUUUGUCGGUCCUAGAAACACCGAUGAAUAAGGGGUGGGCAAGUUCUGGUGUCAGCCGCCGCGGUAAAACCAGCACCUCAAGUUGUCAGGAUGAUUAUUGGGCCUAAAGCAUCCGUAGCCGGCUCUGUUAGUUUUCGGUUAAAUCUGUACGCUUAACGUACAGGCUGCCGGGAAUACUGCAGAGCUAGGGAGUGGGAGAGGUAGACGGUACUCGGUAGGAAGGGGUAAAAUCCUUUGAUCUAUUGAUGACCACCUGGGGCGAAGGCGGUCUACCAGAACACGUCCGACGGUGAGGGAUGAAAGCUGGGGGAGCAAACC